rnacentral:ncRNA from 12 species
CGGCUGCGAGGUGAGAAAACUGUCUGCUCACGCGUCUGGUUAUUCAGGUUAAGUAGGAAGCGGUCACGGCCGCGUCUGAAGAGAUUCGGGGAUGGGCAUCCCGGCGCAGUUG